UACGUAGGGCGCAAGCGUUGUCCGGAAUUAUUGGGCGUAAAGAGCUCGUAGGCGGUUUGUCGCGUCUGGUGUGAAAACUCGAGGCUCAACCUCGAGCUUGCAUCGGGUACGGGCAGACUAGAGUGCGGUAGGGGAGACUGGAAUUCCUGGUGUAGCGGUGGAAUGCGCAGAUAUCAGGAGGAACACCGAUGGCGAAGGCAGGUCUCUGGGCCGCAACUGACGCUGAGGAGCGAAAGCAUGGGGAGCGAACAGGAUUAGAUACCGUGUAGUCC
rnacentral:rRNA from 1 species